ACUUUUCAGCUAGAGUAUGAUAGAGGAAAGCAGAAUUUCUAGUGUAGAGGUGAAAUUCGUAGAUAUUAGAAAGAAUACCAAUUGCGAAGGCAGCUUUCUGGAUCAUUACUGACACUGAGGAACGAAAGCAUGGGUAGCGAAGAGGAUUAGAUACCCUCGUAGUCCAUGCCGUAAACGAUGUGUGUUAGACGUUGGAAAUUUAUUUUCAGUGUCGCAGCGAAAGCGAUAAACACACCGCCUGGGGAGUACGACCGCAAGGUUAAAACUCAAAUGAAUUGACGGGGACCCGCACAAGUAGUGGAGCAUGUGGUUUAAUUCGAAGAUACGCGCAGAACCUUACCAACACUUGACAUGUUCGUCGCGACUCUAAGAGAUUAGAGUUUUCGGUUCGGCCGGACGAAACACAGGUGCUGCAUGGCUGUCGUCAGCUCGUGUCGUGAGAUGUUGGGUUAAGUCCCGCAACGAGCGCAACCCUCACUUUUAGUUGCCAUCAUUAAGUUGGGCACUCUGAAAGAACUGCCAGUGAUAAGCUGGAGGAAGGUGGGGAUGACGUCAAGUCCUCAUGGCCCUUACGUGUUGGGCUACACACGUGCUACAAUGGUAUCUACAACAGGAAGCAAGACUGCGAGGUCAAGCAAAUCCUUAAAAGAUACCUCAGUUCGGAUUGCACUCUGCAACUCGAGUGCAUGAAGCUGGAAUUACUAGUAAUCGUGGAUCAGCGUGC
rnacentral:rRNA from 1 species